rnacentral:lncRNA from 1 species
GGGGUGUUUGUAAUCGACUUUCUGCUCGCCUCAAACAUUGCUGGUCCUGGGCCAAAAUUGAAAACCAUCACCAUCAUCAUUACUAUUAUUAAUAUAACCUUCAAGUAAGUCUUUAUCAACUCACCAAUUACUUAGUGUCUCAUUAACAAACAAGACAACACUAAUUAAUGUGGUUUUCUCUGAUCGGUUUCCUCUCAUUUUACUAAUUAAUUAUGCUACAUUAUAUAUAUAUAUAUAUAUAUAUACUCUUUUACUUGUUUCAGUCAUUUGACUGCGGCCAUGCUGGAGCACCGCCUUUAAUCGAGCAACUCGAUCCCGGGACUUAUUCUUUUGUAAGCCCAGUACUUAUUCUAUCGGUCUGUUUCGGCCGAACCGCUAAGUAACGGGGACAUAAACACACCAGCAUCGGUUGUCAAGCAAUGCUACGGGGACAAACACAGACACACAAACACACAUAUAUAUAUAUAUAUAUAUAUAUAUAUAUAUAUAUAGAUACAUAUAUACGUAUAUAUAUAUACAUAUAUACAUAUACACGACAGGCUUCUUUCAGUUUCCGUCUACCAAAUCCACUCACAAGGCUUUGGUCGGCCCGGGGCUAUAGUAGAAGACACUCGCCCAAGGUGCCACGCAGUGGGACUGAACCCGGAACCAUGUGGUUGGUAAACAAGCUACUUACCACUAAUUAUGCUACAUUACUCUCAUUUUACCAACGAAUUUCCUUUAUAUUACAUGUAAUUCUCAUAAACAACAGGUCGACAUUUCAGUUAAGAAUUUAUUAAUUAGGAUGAGGAAAUAUAUUUUCCUAAUGCUGUUUUGUUUUCGCUUCGAAAAAUAAUUACUUUAACAUCGAGAGGUUCACAUAAUUCUGUCAUUUACAUUAUUAUCAUUAUCACCAUUACAACCUUAAAGUAUAUCUUUGUCAACUUACCGUAUUCAGAUACAAACAACGAGUCAGUGGUCAGUAAUUAAAAACCUUAAUUGAUAAUUUAAAUGGCGCUUGUUUCAAGUGUUGCAGCAGUUAUUUCCCUUCCUCUAUCUAUCCGCUCAGUCGAAGUCGACUCUCGGUCACUCGUUGGAUCAGUGUCAGUUCUAUCCUAGGCCGCUUCCUUCAGAUUGGCCAUGUCCAUUCCGGUAUCACUCUUGAUGGUGUCAAGCCAGCGGGUUCUUGGUCGGCCUCUUCCUCUCUUGCCACUGACCAUUCCAAGCAUGAUGUCCUUCUCCAGGGAUUUUCUCUGCAUAAUAUGACCGAAAUAUGCCAAUCUAUGCUCGGUGAUCCAAGCUUCUAGCAACAUUUUUGGCCUGAUCUGCUUAAGAAUUUCUCCAUUGACCAGCACCGUGUAUAUAUAUAUCUAUUUAUCUAUCCGUUCAGUCGAAGUCGACUAUCGGUCACUCGUUGGAUCAGUGUCCUCCAGUCAGUUCUAUCCUUUCAGAUUGGCCAUGUCCAUUCUGGUAUCACUCUUGAUGGUGUCAAGCCAGCGGGUUCUUGGUCGGCCUCUUCCUCUCUUGUCACUGACCAUUCCAAGCAUGAUGUCCUUCUACAGGGAUUUUCUCUGCAUAAUAUGACCGAAAUAUGCCAAUCUAUGCUUGAUGGUCCAAGCUUCUAGCGACAUUUUCGGCCUGAUCUGAUUAAGAAUUUCUCCAUUGACCAGCACCGUAUAUAUAUAUAUAUAUAUAUAUAUAUAUAUAUAUAUUUAUCUAUCCGCUCAGUCGAAGUCGACUCUCGGUCACUCGUUGGAUCAGUGUCCUCCAGUCAGUUCUAUCCUGGGCCGCUUCUUUCAGAUUGGCUAUGUCCAUUCCGGUAUCACUCUUGAUGGUGUCAAGCCAGCGGGUUCUUGGUCGGCCUCUUCCUCUCUUGCCACUGACCAUUUCAAGCAUGAUGUCCUUCUCCAGGGAUUUUCUCUGCAUAAUAUGACCGAAAUCUGCCAAUCUACGCUUGGUGAUCCCAGCUUCUAGCGACAUUUUCGGCCUGAUCUGAUUAAGAACUUCUCCAUUGGUGAGCCUCGCUGUCCAUGGAAUCCGCAAAAGUCUUCUCCAACACCAAAGCUCGAAUGCAUUAAUUCUCUUCUGGUCAGCUUUCUUUAGUGUCCAGGUCUCGCAUCCAUAUGUUGCUAUUGGGAAGACAAUUUCCCUUUAUAUGAUUGUAUUUUUUUAAUUCUCCAAUAGAUGGCUCUACUAACUGGUUGGAUUUAUUUCAGUCUUUUACUUUGUCUAAUUCUGUGAACAACUUCACCAUCACAUUUCCACCAAGUGAUUCGAAGAAGGUCUAGUCAAGACACAUCUCCGUAUAAGAUCACCCGAAAAAUUGUUGGGUACAAACACAGAGCUCACAGCAAAAGAAAACAACUUUGGGAUCUUUUCGGUUUGAACGGCAGAUUUUUCCAGCGGUGUCAUAUGAAAUUGUCUCCCAUAAUUAUGACCUUAGUAUCGAUCUAUUGCAUUUCAAUCUCCUUUAGGGUUAGGGGUGGGGGAAAGGGUAUAUUUUUUUUCUUCACAAAUGUAAAUAAACCCAAUCUGUUUCUUAAACGAGGGGCAUAUUCAUACGGCACAGAAUGUUUUCACCUCAAUAGACGUCAGUGAUUGGUUGAAAUUGCAGAAAUUGAAGUAAAACAACAACAAAUAUGUUACAAACUAUAGAAUUUUCUCAAUAAAGCCAAGAAAAAAAGAUGUUUUAUAUACACAUUCUACCAGUAUACAAAGUUUAAAAGUGUUUAGUUACAUGGAAAUUAUUUUAAAAAAAGCUGCCAGUCAAACCGAACAGAUCCGACUAUACAACACAUUGCCCACAAAUGCAGGAACCAUGUUCAGGGUAGUUAAUUUAAUUCAUAGGGUUUCUCCCUUUCAAAUGUCCCCCUCGUCAGCCUUAAUUUUAUUUUCUUCACUAUUGCAUAUAUUGUUGUCCAUUUUGAUUUCAUCAGCAUCAACUUGGAUGUCGUCCCCCUAAAACAGAAAAAGGAUCUUCACCUUUUGACCUACAUAUUUCAAAAAUACUUUUUGUAACUAAACACUUUCAAACUUAGGACACUUGUAGAAUGUGUCAUAUAAAACGUGUUUUACUCUUAGCAUUUUUGAGAAAAACUUGGAUACACGAUGUGUGACUGGAAAUCGUACUUGCAACCUUACGAUUGGAGGCGUAUACUCUACCGACUAGGGAGCCAUAUACUCUAGCCACUUCACAGUGAAAUGAGUGGAAAACGGCUAAGUAUUUAGAGAAAUGUUGAAUCGAUUCAUCUCUAUACAGAAUGUUGUAAAAGUUUCAAUGCCUCAAUGGAUUCUGACCCCUGCAAACAUAGACAUUAAAUGGAUGACAGUGUUGAUGUUGUAAGAUUUGCAAUGUUGAAUUACUAUGUCGUUUAAUGAUUCUCUUUAUCUCACUGCUUCUUUUUCUAUUUCAGAAUAUCACAUCAUGUUGACGUAAAAGAAAUUUCUUCGUUCAGACAUGCCCCUGAUAUUUCUGUUGACUUUCAUCAAUUAAAGGAAGACCAUAUAUUCAUAAGGCACAUUCAUCAACGCAUCGACUUCUUUGUAUAAAUGAAAUCUUCAACAAACGAUGGGAAAAUAUUUCUUCUGGACAAUGUAAUUAACAGCAACAUUUACUUGCCUUCACUGUUUGGAAUGUAAAAAAGGUGAUUGCUUGGUUAAUUAAGCUUGGAUAAAUUUACAAAAGUUUUAACUGUUUACAUAUGCCGUUUUAGAUGUUAAGCAAGAACAC